AACGAACGCUGGCGGCAGGCCUAACACAUGCAAGUCGAGCGCGCCCUUCGGGGUGAGCGGCGGACGGGUGAGUAACGCGUGGGAACGUGCCCUUUUCUACGGAAUAGCCUCGGGAAACUGAGAGUAAUACCGUAUACGCCCUUUGGGGGAAAGAUUUAUCGGAAAAGGAUCGGCCCGCGUUGGAUUAGGUAGUUGGUGGGGUAAUGGCCUACCAAGCCGACGAUCCAUAGCUGGUUUGAGAGGAUGAUCAGCCACACUGGGACUGAGACACGGCCCAGACUCCUACGGGAGGGAGCAGUGGGGAAUCUUAGACCAUGGGGGCAACCCUGAUCUAGCCAUGCCGCGUGAGUGAUGAAGGCCUUAGGGUUGUAAAGCUCUUUCAGCUGGGAAGAUAAUGACGGUACCAGCAGAAGAAGCCCCGGCUAACUCCGUG
rnacentral:rRNA from 1 species